UCAAAUUAUUAAGUGCAGAUGGCGAAUGCCUAGGCACCAGAAACCGACGAAGGACGUAUGAGGCUGCGAAAAGCCUCGGGGAGCUGCCAACAGAGCAUUGAUCCGAGGAUUUCCGAAUGAGGAAACUCAGCGCGAGUAAUGUCGCGUUAUUUCUCCCAGAACACAUAUGGGAGAUAAAGGGAACGUGGGGAAGUGAAACAUCUCAGUACCCACAGGAAGAGAAAACAAACGUGAUUCCGUUAGUAGUGGCGAGCGAAGGCGGAAGAGGCUAAACCGUUAAUGUGCCAAGCCAGCAGGCGUUGCAUUAGUGGUGUUGAGGGACCAACCCGGAUCUACUGCUGUAGAUCUAACAAGUCAGAAAUUAAAGAUGUAGGUGAACGGCGUGGGAAAGCCGGGCGAAGAAGGUGAGACCCCUGUAACCGAAACAUCUUUAACUUGUAGUUGGUAUCCCAAGUAAUACCGGACUCGUGAAAUCCGGUAUGAAUCUGGCGGGACCACCCGCUAAGCCUAAAUAUUCUCUGGUGACCGAUAGUGAACAAGUACCGUGAGGGAAAGGUGAAAAGAACCCCGCAAGGGGAGUGAAAUAGAAUCUGAAACCGUCUGCAUACAAGCCGUUGGAGCUACCUUGAGUAGUGACAGCGUGCCUUUUGAAGAAUGAGUCUACGAGUUAGUGUCAUGUGGCGAGGUUAACCGGUCGACGGGAAGCCGUAGCGAAAGCGAGUCUGAAUAGGGCGAAUGAGUCGCAUGAUCUAAACCCGAAGCGAGGUGAUCUAUGCAUGGUCAGGUUGAAGCGUGGGUAAGACUGCGUGGAGGACCGAACCCACAAACGUUGAAAAGUUUGGGGAUGAACUGUGCUUAGGGGUGAAAGGCCAAUCAAACUUCGUGAUAGCUGGUUCUCUCCGAAAUGCAUUUAGGUGCAGCGUUACGUGUUUCUUGCUGGAGGUAGAGCUACUGGAUGGCCGAGGGGACCUACAAGUUUACCAACGUCAGCCAAACUCCGAAUGCCAGUAAGUGAGAACGUAGCAGUGAGACAGUGGGGGAUAAGCUUCAUUGUCGAGAGGGAAACAACCCAGAACAGCAACUAAGGUCCCAAAGCGUGUGCUAAGUGGAAAAGGAUGUGAAGUCGCAUAGACAACCAGGAUGUUGGCUUAGAAGCAGCCACCAUUAAAAGAGUGCGUAAUAGCUCACUGGUCAAGUGAUUUCGCGCCGACAAUGUAACGGGGCUCAAGCACGCCACCGAAGUUCUGUCAUUCACACAUGUUCCAGGUCGCAAGAUCCAGGAGUGUGGAUGGGUAGGAGAGCGUCGUGUAACUAGUGAAGCGGUGGAGGAAUCCAACCGUGGAAGUUGCACGAGUGAGAAUGUAGACAUGAGUAGCGAAAGAUGGGUGAGAAACCCGUCCGCCGAAUGACCAAGGGUUCCUGGGCCAGGCUAAUCCGCCCAGGGUAAGUCGGGACCUAAGACGAGGCCGUCAGGCGUAGUCGAUGGACAACUGGUUGAUAUUCCAGUACCCGCUAAGAGCGCCCAGAACGAGCCCGCUAAUGCUAAGUGCCUGAAGUUUGCUUGGGGUAAAACCUAAAGCGGAUGGAGCGCGCGAACCGAGGCGGUAGUAGUUCAGCAAUGGUGUGACACAGGAAGGUAGUUCAGCCCAGGCGAUGGUUGACCUGGGGUAAGAGUGUAGGAAGUAAUGUAGGCAAAUCCGCAUUACACAUUUCUGAGACUUGAUGCCGAGCCGUAUGGCGAAGUGAAUGAUCCUAUGCUGUCAAGAAAAACAUCUAGCGAGCUCAAAAGCGGCCCGUACCCGAAACCGACACAGGUGGUCAGGUAGAGAAUACCAAGGCGAUCGAGAGAAUCGUGGUGAAGGAACUCGGCAAAUUACCCCCGUAACUUCGGGAUAAGGGGGGCCAAAUUACGUGUAGGGAUUUACUCCCGAAGCGUGAGUUGGCCGCAGAGACUAGGCUCAAGCGACUGUUUACCAAAAACACAGGUCCGUGCUAAUUCGUAAGAAGACGUAUACGGACUGACGCCUGCCCGGUGCUGGAAGGUUAAGGGGAUUGGUUAGCCGCAAGGCGAAGCUGAGAACUUAAGCCCCAGUAAACGGCGGUGGUAACUAUAACCAUCCUAAGGUAGCGAAAUUCCUUGUCGGGUAAGUUCCGACCUGCACGAA
rnacentral:rRNA from 1 species